AUUGAACGCUGGCGGCAUGCCUUACACAUGCAAGUCGAACGGCAGCACGGGUGCUUGCACCUGGUGGCGAGUGGCGAACGGGUGAGUAAUACAUCGGAACGUACCCUAUCGUGGGGGAUAACGCAGCGAAAGCUGUGCUAAUACCGCAUACGCCGUGAGGGGGAAAGCGGGGGAGCGAAAGACCUCGCGCGAUUAGAGCGGCCGAUGCCUAAUGAGCUUGUGGGUGGGGUAAAAGCCCACCAAGGCGACGAUCAGUAGCUGGUCUGAGAGGACGAUCAGCCACACUGGGACUGGGACACGGCCCAGCCUACUACGGGAGGCAGCAGUGGGGAAUUUUGGACAAUGGGGACAACCCUGAUCCAGCAAUGCCGCGUGAGUGAAGAAGGCCUUCGGGUUGUAAAGCUCUUUUGUCAGGGAAGAAACACCGGCUCUAACACAGUCCGGGAAUGACGGUACCUGAAGAAUAAGCACCGGCUAACUACGUGCCAGCCGCCGCAGUAA
rnacentral:rRNA from 1 species